rnacentral:rRNA from 1 species
UAGCGAAGGGGGCUAGCGUUGCUCGGAAUCACUGGGCGUAAAGGGUGCGUAGGCGGGUUUUUAAGUCAGGGGUGAAAUCCUGGAGCUCAACUCCAGAACUGCCUUUGAUACUGAAGAUCUUGAGUCCGGGAGAGGUGAGUGGAACUGCGAGUGUAGAGGUGAAAUUCGUAGAUAUUCACAAGAACACCAGUGGCGAAGGCGGCUCACUGGCCCGGUACUGACGCUGAGGCACGAAAGCGUGGGGAGCAAACAGG